GACAGAGGGGGCAAGCGUUGCUCGGAAUCACUGGGCGUAAAGGGCGCGUAGGCGGGAUGGCAAGUCGGUCGUGAAAUCUCUCGGCUCAACCGAGAAACGUCGGCCGAUACUGCCGUUCUUGAGGGAUGCAGAGGAGACUGGAAUUCCCGAUGUAGCGGUGAAAUGUGUAGAGAUCGGGAGGAACACCGGUGGCGAAGGCGGGUCUCUGGGCAUUUCCUGACGCUGAGGCGCGAAAGCGUGGGGAGCAAACGGG
rnacentral:rRNA from 1 species